rnacentral:rRNA from 1 species
GAUGAACGCUGGCGGCGUGCCUAAUACAUGCAAGUCGAGCGAACAGAUGAGGAGCUUGCUCCUCUGACGUUAGCGGCGGACGGGUGAGUAACACGUGGAUAACCUACCUAUAAGACUGGGAUAACUUCGGGAAACCGGAGCUAAUACCGGAUAAUAUAUUUAACCGCAUGGUUCAAUAGUGAAAGACGGUUUUGCUGUCACUUAUAGAUGGAUCCGCGCCGCAUUAGCUAGUUGGUAAGGUAACGGCUUACCAAGGCAACGAUGCGUAGCCGACCUGAGAGGGUGAUCGGCCACACUGGAACUGAGAAACGGUCCAGACUCCUACGGGAGGCAGCAGUAGGGAAUCUUCCGCAAGGGGCGAAAGCCUGACGGAGCAACGCCGCGUGAGUGAUGAAGGUCUUCGGAUCGUAAAACUCUGUUAUUAGGGAAGAACAAAUGUGUAAGUAACUAUGCACGUCUUGACGGUACCUAAUCAGAAAGCCACGGCUAACUACGUG